UGGCACCAAAAAACAAAAAUAAAAACCAACAUCAAAAAAAGCAUAAUUUGUGAUGCAGAGAGACAGAAUUCAGUCGGAUGUUUGAAUAUCUGAAUCUAGAAAUGCCCAAAACAAUGGAACUUUUCAAUGGAUGAUAGAUGACAGAAGUUUUAACUGAAGGAAGCAGACAGAUUUGAAAUGCCAGCGUGAACUGUGAGACAGACCUAGGAUGGGUUACGUGACUACAACCAAGGUAGAAAGAUUGCACCAGCAGAAAUGGGGAAGACUCCCACUAGAUUUCUCCAUGAACUCAAUGUGUGCUUCCUGUAGUUGACCCAUAGUUGUCGGGUGGUGGUGGGGCGGUCAAUCUUAAGCAUCAAAAAGAGUGUAAAAUAUCUCAUGUUAAUUUUUAUAUUGGUUACUCAUUUAA